rnacentral:lncRNA from 1 species
UUGGUUGACAUUACUGCCCUUUCCCCCAGUUGCCGCAGGGUUGAGCGGCCAAGCCGAGGUCCCCGCAGGAGACGCAGCCAAUUUGGAGUUGAAGUGGUACACUUCACAAAUGAGUUCAAACACCUAGAAUUUCAAUUAUUGGAACCAUAAUUUAUCAAUAAAAGAGAGAAACAAAGAAUCUACCAGCUGGGGCAGAAUUCCCUAACGGAAAACUGCGUGGGUUUGACAUUAAGAGACAGUUUAUAUAGGACAAGUUAUUUCUCUUCACGUACAGGUUCUUAUCUGACAAAGAACAGACUUUAAUACAGGAAUGCGAGGUUGGAGAGGAGCUGAUCCUGGGGUUGUGAUCUAAGGAGUGUUUAUCUUCACUUAGCCAAAUGCAGAAGAACAUCAAGGGCCAGAUGAGCAUUGUAUGGGAGGAUCUUUUAACAGAUGGAGGGAGAUCAAGAGGGAGAAAAGGGUAUGUAAACCUCAAAAUUUCUUAGACUUAUAAAUGUUGGAAAUUUCACCAUUGGGAAAUUUCAUACUUGGAAAAUUUCCUAUUGAUAGUGGCUCUUGACUAUUGGAAUGUGAACCCCAUUGGCAUGGGAGGUUCCUUCUCUUCCCUUCUUAAGAUUACUUUAGGACAGAAACCUUUUGCUGAACAAUGGAAAGGACUUUGACCUAUGCUUAAGCAUAGAACAGGAAUUUCUUUGAGUCAUGAUUGAUUUUAGAAUUGAUACAAUGGAGAUACUUGGAAUCAAUCUCCACCCUAUUCAGUCCUAACAGGAUUGAGUAAGGGCUGCAGCCUAGAUCAAAAUUUAAUUAUUCCAAUCUCUACCCUACUCAGGUUAACAGGAUUUAGAAAGGGCUGUAGCAAAGGAGCAGAGAUUUAAUCAUUUGAAAAUAUGACCUUCAACAGACAUGUGCAAAGCCUCUGGGCGGUCCUGGGUUAAGCUAGAGCCUCCAUUGGCACAGGGAAAUUGAUGGACAGUGAUUGGUAGAUGUGAGAACUGAGGGGAGGCAACUUGGAUGGUUUCCUUAAAGAUCAGGGGGGUCUGAAGACUCAAGAGGGUUGAGGGGUUGGUCGGUGUGGUUCGUGUGGGCUCUGAGAAGCUUGCUCUGAAGGAAGCUGAAAGUGGGGGCCUCUGAGACUGUUUCUCCAUUUUGGUCACGUGAGUAAUAGGGACUGAUCUUUUUUCUUUUCCCCAGCUAUCUAAGGGCUUGGGCCUUUUGGCCCAGCCUAAACAGAAGGGGUAUUUAAGCCCUAUUCCCUUCUCUCCCUUUUUCUCUCUCUCUAUCUCUAAUUCCUUUCUUACUCCUAUUGUAAUUAAACUCCAUAAAAGAUUUACUGCUGACUUGAGUUUUCAUUUAGGAAUUACAUAGCUGAAUUCCUUGGCGACCUUAAAUUAAUAUAUAUCAGUCUUUUAAAGUGAUUCCCUUGUAACAGGUAAGAAGGUAGAAAGGUAAAAAAGGCAACAGAUUGUAAAGGGAUUAAAUGCCAAA